UAAACAAAAUAUUGUUUGGAACUUAACCUAACAUAUACAAAUUUCUAAAACAAUUCAACCAUAUGUAAUAUAAAGUAUGAUGUUAGGUAUUAACAAUUUAAUAAACAUUAGCAAACAUAUGCUUACAAACGGUUGAAACCAAUAUUGGAGGAGUAUCCGGACAUCUCUAGCCAUUUUUUGAUUUGGGUUUGGAGUCUUCACAUUUGAUACAUUUUAGGGUUCUCUCUCGGAUACUUUUUUAUUCUCUCUUUUUACAACUUUUUGAAAUUUGAAAUUCAAAUCAAAAUCUCAAAAUGAAGUCACUAAAAAUGUCAAUCUCGGGGAGGAUGCUCCCAAUAGACACAACUCCGCUAGAGUCAGAAACGGUGAUGACGGAAGUAACGUAUCCAAGUGGAGGGAUACAGUGACAGAUGACAUCGCCGACAAAACAAAGACGUCGAGCACCAAAACAACCUGGACGAUAAUGGGAGGUGUUCAUAAAUCGAUUAGGAUCAUCGCAUCGUUCCAGGCCAAAGGUCUUUUCUGGGAAGGAUAUCGCGAGGAGAUGUCUACGGUUUUUGAAUCCGACAAAAAAACGAGGGUGGAGAUAAUUGAGUCGGAAAAAAAAGUGAAAUUUAUUUAUUUAUUGACCAACAAAAAGUGAAAAAUUCCAAAGCAAACAAGUGUAAGUUCAUAGUUUUUCCUAAACAAAAUAUUGUUUGGAACUUAA